CAUUAAUUCAGAUCAAUUCAGUUACACAAUUGUAAGAAAAUAAGUGUAUAUACAUAUUCUAUCAUGUAAAUAAAUACUGAGCUUUAGUUUGUUGGUCUACAUGGUCGAUCAUUUAGAGACAAAAAGUAAAACUGGCUGAAUUUAUGAAGAUAUUCUGUAAGUUGCCUUUCCCCCCAUAUUAACUACUGUAGAUCAACAAUCCUAUUUAUUAGAUUUACCAGAUUUUUUUUCUUAGUCUGAGGAAUAUGAUGGAAUAAUCCAUGAUCUAAAUUAAACUAGAAACUGAAACUGUUAUUUACUGGCGGUAAUUUGCAGAACUUUUUUAUUUAAAUUUGAAGUUGAAUUUGUAAAAAUGUGCAUUGUCCUCCAGCUCCAGUGUCAAAGCCAAACGUGUCACAGACGUGUUUGUCACCAGAACAGUCUGUCGUCUGCUGCUCCACUGAGGGAGACGGAGUAGAGUUCAUUUGGAGUUUGGACAACAACAUAUUAGAACAGACCAGAGCUGAGAGCACAAAUAAACCAACAUCCGAGGUUUCCAAUGUCACCAUCAGCUUACACGGCCAGCUCACUGGAAACUUAGCAUGUAUCACUCAGAACGACAUCAGCAGAGAACAAACUGUGAUCCAGCUCAGGAGCUGUAGAGGUAAACUUACCUAAUCAUUUUAAUUGAAGUGCAUGUCUAUUACAAUAAAUUUCUAUAAUAAAACACUGUGUGGGACAGAGAAAUCUUGAUAUUUUCCAUAUUUACUGUGUGUUACUGUAUUCUGUAGGUUCCAUUCACUCUCCUUUUAUGACUGUGACUGAAAAAAUAAAAAAUUUAAAAAAAUGAAGGUGUUCAUUGUCCUCCAGCUCCAGUGUCAAAACCAGAGGUGUCGCAGACGUGUUUGUCACCAGAACAGUCUGUCGUCUGCUGCUCCACUGAGGGAGACGGAGUAGAGUUCAUUUGGAGUUUGGACGACAACAUAUUGAUACAGACCAGAGCUGAGAGCACAAAUAAACCGACAUCUGAGGUUUCCAAUGUCACCAUCAGCUUACACGGCCAGCUCACUGGAAACUUAGCAUGUAUCACUCAGAACGACAUCAGCUCAGAACAAACUGUGAUCCAGCUCAGGAGCUGUAAAGGUUCCAUUCACUCUCCUUUUGUGACUGUAACUGUCGCUGUGAUAGCCAGCGUAUGUGCUUUGCUUCUGCUUUUGGCUCUGUUUCUUUAUGUAAGACACUUACAUAAGACUCCAAGACCUGUGGCUGAUGAAGGUAAGACAAACACAUUCUUUUCAUUUUGCCGUUUGAUUUUGUUAAAUCUUAAUGUAAAAGAUAUACAGUAUAUUUAACAGUUUACUCUGAAGACAGGUUUGCAGAUGCAAUGAUGUUACAUUACUAAUCUGUGGUACAAAUAAAAAAAACAUUAUUUUUGAUAGAUUCUUUGUC
rnacentral:lncRNA from 1 species